AUUCGACAGGAUCUAGGAAGCCGGAGGUGCAUGCAGAGGAGCGGUUUGCCUCUUAAAAAGCCGCAUUUAAAUAGUCGCAAACGACGAAACAUACGCACUAGCCGCUUAAUAACCGGCAUAGGCCCUUCCACCCUAGUCUUUUCCUGCUAGCGGGGAUUCGGAAGGUCAUCCAAGUAGGAUAGCGAGGGAACCUUGUCUAAGGGUGAACCGCGAAACAGUAUUAGGCCAGCUGCAAGGAAAUCCUGUUU
rnacentral:tmRNA from 11 species